ensembl:snRNA U6 U6 spliceosomal RNA
GUGCUCGCUUCGGCAGCACGUAUAGUAAAAUUGGAACGAUGCAGAAAAGAUUAGCAGGGCUUGCUCUAAGUGACCCUCAGCAAGGGUGACAUGCAAAUUUGUGAAGCGUUCCAUGUUUAA